CACGGGGGUUGCGAGCGUUGUCCGGAAUUACUAGGCGUAAAGGGCAGGCAGGCGGAUUCAUAAGUUUAUCGUUUAAGGCGUCGGCUUAACCGGCGUAGGGCGGUAGAUACUGUGGAUCUGGAAUGCGGUUGGGGAAGACAGAAUUCCUGGUGUAGCGGUGGAAUGCGCAGAGAUCAGUAGGAAUACCGAAGGCGAAGGCAGUCUUCCAAGCCGUUAUUGACGCUCAACUGCGAAGGUGUGGGUAUCAAACAGGAUUAGAUACCCCGGUAGUCCCUGAGCGGG
rnacentral:rRNA from 1 species